GGUUAAGUUAGAAAGGGCGCACGGUGAAUGCCUUGGCACUAGGAGCCGAUGAAGGACGGGACUAACACCGAUAUGCUUCGGGGAGCUGUAAGUGAGCUUUGAUCCGGAGAUUUCCGAAUGGGGAAACCCACUGUUCGUAAUGGAACAGUAUCUUUAUCUGAAUACAUAGGAUAUUGAAGGCAGACCCGGGGAACUGAAACAUCUAAGUACCCGGAGGAAGAGAAAGCAAAUGCGAUUUCCUGAGUAGCGGCGAGCGAAACGGAAUUAGCCCAAACCAAGAGGCUUGCCUCUUGGGGUUGUAGGACACUCUAUACGGAGUUACAAAGGAACGAAGUAAAUGAAGCGACCUGGAAAGGUCCGUCAAAGAAGGUAACAACCCUGUAGUUGAAACUUCGUUCCCUCUUGAGUGGAUCCUGAGUACGGCGGAACACGUGAAAUUCCGUCGGAAGCUGGGAGGACCAUCUCCCAAGGCUAAAUACUACCUAGUGACCGAUAGUGAACCAGUACCGUGAGGGAAAGGUGAAAAGCACCCCGGAAGGGGAGUGAAAGAGAUCCUGAAACCGUGUGCCUACAAGUAGUCAGAGCCCGUUAAUGGGUGAUGGCGUGCCUUUUGUAGAAUGAACCGGCGAGUUACGAUCCCAUGCAAGGUUAAGCUGAUAAGGCGGAGCCGUAGCGAAAGCGAGUCUGAAUAGGGCGUUUAGUAUGUGGUUGUAGACCCGAAACCAGGUGAUCUACCCAUGUCCAGGGUGAAGUUCAGGUAACACUGAAUGGAGGCCCGAACCCACGCACGUUGAAAAGUGCGGGGAUGAGGUGUGGGUAGCGGAGAAAUUCCAAUCGAACCUGGAGAUAGCUGGUUCUCUCCGAAAUAGCUUUAGGGCUAGCCUCAUGUUGUGAGAGUCUUGGAGGUAGAGCACUGAUUGGACUAGGGGCCCCCAACGGGUUACCGAAUUCAGUCAAACUCCGAAUGCCAAAGACUUAUCCAUGGGAGUCAGACUGCGAGUGAUAAGAUCCGUAGUCAAAAGGGAAACAGCCCAGACCACCAGCUAAGGUCCCCAAGUAUACGUUAAGUGGAAAAGGAUGUGGAGUUGCUUAGACAACCAGGAUGUUGGCUUAGAAGCAGCCACCAUUUAAAGAGUGCGUAAUAGCUCACUGGUCGAGUGACUCUGCGCCGAAAAUGUACCGGGGCUAAACGUAUCACCGAAGCUGUGGAUUGACAUCUUUGAUGUCAGUGGUAGGAGAGCGUUCUAAGUGCUGUGAAGUCAGACCGUAAGGACUGGUGGAGCGCUUAGAAGUGAGAAUGCCGGUAUGAGUAGCGAAAGACAAGUGAGAAUCUUGUCCACCGAAUGCCUAAGGUUUCCUGAGGAAGGCUCGUCCGCUCAGGGUUAGUCGGGACCUAAGCCGAGGCUGAAAAGCGUAGGCGAUGGCCAACAGGUUGAUAUUCCUGUACCACCUCCCCGCCGUUUGAGUAAUGGGGGGACGCAGUAGGAUAGGGUAAGCGCGCUGCUGGAUAUGCGCGUUCAAGCAGUUAGGCUGAUGAGUAGGCAAAUCCGCUCAUCAUAAAGGCUGAGCUGUGAUGACGAGGGAAUUAUAGUACCGAAGUUCCUGAUUCCACACUGCCAAGAAAAGCCUCUAGCGAGGCGGGAGGUGCCCGUACCGCAAACCGACACAGGUAGGCGAGGAGAGAAUCCUAAGGUGAUCGAGAGAACUCUCGUUAAGGAACUCGGCAAAAUGACCCCGUAACUUCGGGAGAAGGGGUGCUCUGGUAGGGUGUAUAGCCCGAGAGAGCCGCAGUGAAUAGGCCCAGGCGACUGUUUAGCAAAAACACAGGUCUCUGCGAAGCCGCAAGGCGAAGUAUAGGGGCUGACGCCUGCCCGGUGCUGGAAGGUUAAGAGGAGGGGUUAUCCUUUGGGAGAAGCUCUGAAUCGAAGCCCCAGUAAACGGCGGCCGUAACUAUAACGGUCCUAAGGUAGCGAAAUUCCUUGUCGGGUAAGUUCCGACCCGCACGAAAGGCGUAACGAUCUGGGCACUGUCUCAACGAGAGACUCGGUGAAAUUAUAGUACCUGUGAAGAUGCAGGUUACCCGCGACAGGACGGAAAGACCCCGUGGAGCUUUACUGUAGCCUGAUAUUGAAUUUUGGUACAGCUUGUACAGGAUAGGUAGGAGCCUGAGAAGCCGGAGCGCUAGCUUCGGUGGAGGCGUCGGUGGGAUACUACCCUGGCUGUAUUGAAAUUCUAACCCGCGGCCCUGAUCGGGCCGGGAGACAGUGUCAGGUGGGCAGUUUGACUGGGGCGGUCGCCUCCUAAAAUGUAACGGAGGCGCCCAAAGGUUCCCUCAGAAUGGUUGGAAAUCAUUCGUAGAGUGUAAAGGCACAAGGGAGCUUGACUGCGAGACCUACAAGUCGAGCAGGGACGAAAGUCGGGCUUAGUGAUCCGGUGGUUCCGCAUGGAAGGGCCAUCGCUCAACGGAUAAAAGCUACCCCGGGGAUAACAGGCUUAUCUCCCCCAAGAGUCCACAUCGACGGGGAGGUUUGGCACCUCGAUGUCGGCUCAUCGCAUCCUGGGGCUGUAGUCGGUCCCAAGGGUUGGGCUGUUCGCCCAUUAAAGCGGUACGCGAGCUGGGUUCAGAACGUCGUGAGACAGUUCGGUCCCUAUCCGUCGUGGGCGUAGGAAAUUUGAGAGGAGCUGUCCUUAGUACGAGAGGACCGGGAUGGACACACCGCUGGUGUACCAGUUGUCUUGCCAAAGGCAUCGCUGGGUAGCUAUGUGUGGACGGGAUAAGUGCUGAAAGCAUCUAAGCAUGAAGCCCCCCUCAAGAUGAGAUUUCCCAUAGCGCAAGCUAGUAAGAUCCCUGAAAGAUGAUCAGGUUGAUAGGUCAGAGGUGGAAGCGUGGCGACAUGUGUAGCUGACUGAUACUAAUCGAUCGAGGACUUAACCAA
rnacentral:rRNA from 1 species